rnacentral:misc_RNA from 1 species
UGGCUCUCGCAUCGAUGAAGAACGCAGCGAAAUGCGAUAAGUAAUGUGAAUUGCAGAAUUCAGUGAAUCAUCGAAUCUUUGAACGCACCUUGCGCUCCUUGGUAUUCCGAGGAGCAUGCCUGUUUGAGUGUCGUGUAAUUCUCAACCUAUAAAUCCUUGUGGUUUUUAGGCUUGGACUUGGAGGCUUUUGCUGGCUUUACCGUCGGCUCCUCUUAAACGCAUUAGCUUGAUUCCUUGCGGAUCGGCUCUCAGUGUGAUAAUUAUCUGCGCUGUGACCGUGAAGCGUUUGGCGAGCUUCUAACCGUCUCUUCGAGACAAACACUUUGACAUCUGACCUCAAAUCAGGUAGGACUACCCGCUGA